rnacentral:lncRNA from 1 species
GUGGCUACAUUUAAAUAUUGUAAUGUUUCUCAAUUAAUAUAUAAGGGAUUUUUUUUUUUUUGUUAAAGGAUUUUCAUUAAUAUUAAUAAAGGAUACAAGCAAGCUUUAGAACUAAAAGAUAACAGUUACAUAAGAGAAAGGGGGGAGGAACAGCAAAGGCUGAUAUUCAACUAGAUUAUCAAGAAUGAGAAAAAGCAGUAUGGUGGGUCAAACCAAAAGGAAGCCAACAAGGGACCUCUUGGGAGACCUUGAGCCUCCAUCGCCGAGCAUUUAUCCCGCAAAGAAGAAAGGAUGAGUUUUACCACCCUAGCAGCAGGCCAUGUGAGGCCAUCAUGAAGACGCCUGUUUCUUUCUCUCCAAAGCUCAUAGACAGAUGCCUGCCAGCCCUGAAGAAAAGCUAUCCUUUGUGUGUUAUUACCAGGAGCAUGAGGCAGCCAGAGUAAGACCUCCGACCAUGAUAAAGGCCAGUCUGCUAUUCCAAAUGUAGACAUGAUAGAGUUCCAUACAGCAGAGGAGAAGGAGCAUGUGAAAAAAAGGUGAUCUCUGCUUUCAUUGCAGCUUCC